rnacentral:pre_miRNA from 1 species
CGAUGAUGAUGAUGAUGAUGAUGAUGAUGAUGAUGAAUAUGGUGGUGGUCAGAAUGCACAUUCAUUGUCAUCAUCAUCAUCAUCAUCAUCAUCAUCG